CAAGUCGAACGGGCAUCUUCGGAUGUCAGUGGCAGACGGGUGAGGAACACGUGGGAACAUGCCCUUCGGUUCGGAAUAACUCAGGGAAACUUGAGCUAAUACCGGAUACGCCCGAGAGGGGAAAGAUUUAUUGCCGAAGGAUUGGCCCGCGUCUGAUUAGCUAGUUGGUGAGGUAACGGCUCACCAAGGCGACGAUCAGUAGCUGGUCUGAGAGGAUGAUCAGCCACAUUGGGACUGAGACACGGCCCAAACUCCUACGGGAGGCAGCAGUGGGGAAUAUUGGACAAUGGGCGAAAGCCUGAUCCAGCCAUGCCGCGUGAGUGAUGAAGGCCUUAGGGUUGUAAAGCUCUUUUAUCCGGGAAGAUAAUGACUGUACCGGAAGAAUAAGCCCCGGCUAACUUCGUGCCAGCAGCCGCGGUAAUACGAAGGGGGCUAGCGUUGCUCGGAAUCACUGGGCGUAAAGGGCGCGUAGGCGGAUGAUUAAGUCGGAGGUGAAAGCCCAGGGCUCAACCCUGGAAUUGCCUUCGAUACUGAUCGUCUCGAGAAUGGAAGAGGUAAGUGGAAUACCGAGUGUAGAGGUGAAAUUCGUAGAUAUUCGGUGGAACACCAGUGGCGAAGGCGACUUACUGGUCCAUUUCUGACGCUGAGGCGCGAAAGCGUGGGGAUCAAACAGGAUUAGAUACCCUGGUAGUCCACGCCGUAAACGAUGAAUGCCAGCCGUUGGGGAGCUUGCUCUUCAGUGGCGCAGCUAACGCUUUAAGCAUUCCGCCUGGGGAGUACGGUCGCAAGAUUAAAACUCAAAGGAAUUGACGG
rnacentral:rRNA from 1 species